CAUCUGCAUCUAGGAAUUUCCUCUCCUGUCUCAGCUCAAAGAACUUCAGUUGUCAGACCUACCAAAUUGUCAUUGAUGCUCUAAGCAGCCAAUCAGCCUCCAUGGACAGAGAGCAACAACAAGUGAUCUUCACUCAUUACAUCUAUCCAUUCCUUUCAAGAAAUGACUCAUCAGAUCCCGGCUGUGUCUCAAACACCAGUGGAAGCAUGGACUGGCUCCAGAGGAAC